UUUUUGUAGGAUGUGCCGCUGGAUUGUGUUUCCAGAAUUCUUCUUUCAUGUUUGAAUUUUGUGAUCCUCAUUUUUUAAUUUUGAAUGGACUUAUCCAUUUCAAUUAAUGGUUAUUUUUGCUAUUUUAUAUUGAUAUCAUGUGAGAUAAUUAGACGUAUUCUAUAUUCUUAGAUGCUUGAGGCUGUUACGUUUAGAAGGUUUUAUUGAGAUUCUCUACAACGUCGACCUUGUUGUCUGUGGACUUCAUGGAAGGAGCUAUUGUUGAGAGAUGUACCCAUAAUGAUAUUACUACUUCUAUUCCCAUUUUUUAGCACACUUCAUUUUCUGAGUUGUGCAACCAGGUUAGCUCAAGGUUCAGUGGUUUGGUAGUUGGUUCAUUUAACUUUACAUAUGCUAUGAAUGGAUGCGCAUGUUGUCUUUUGGAAUGUGACAUGGAUGUGCGUGUAUUGCACAUAUCUGUAACAAAGGAGAACGCAUAUUUUGUUGAUAUAUUGGUGAGUUUAAAAGAAUCAAAUGAAAUUGGCAAUGCUAGUCAAGAUAUUCGUAUUACAUAACCAUUUUUGGCUGAAGGUGUAAUGCACACCGAUGGGAAUGAGUUUUUGGAGAAAUUUAAAACACCUACUGCUAAGAUGUAUUUAUCGCAUCCUUGGAAAAGCUAUAUAAGUCAUGUUGGUCAGGAUUAUGAGGAUGGAGCGGAUGAGUUCAGGCUUAAACUAUGCAAGUAUGUUGUUGAGAUGGGUUUUGAAUUUGAGUAUGUCGCAAAUGAGCAUAAAAGGAUAAUAGCUUCUUGCAUUACGAAAGAUAUUGAAGGUUGUAUGUGGCGUGUUCAUGCAUCUAUAUGCAGUGCUAAUGGCCAUUUUGUUAUCCGGACAUCAAAUAAUCAGCACAUAUGCAGCGGUCGCAUUCGAGAACGUGAAAGUGGGAUGAUGAUCUCAAAGAUUGUGUGUUCCAUACUGGUUGAGCAAAUUCGGUCCAAUCCACACAUUAAACCAAUUCAGAUAGUUGAUGAUUUCAAAAAGAAUUAUGGUUUGGAUGUUUCCUAUUACAAUGCAUGGUACGGAAAAGAGAUGGCGAUGACAAUGAUUCAUGGUGAUGACGUUUUAUCUUACCAAAAGUUAGGUUGGUGUGUUGAACAGAUCCGCAAAAGUAAUCCUGAUCCCAUUGUGUGUUGGAGUGCGAUCCAAACACCUCCCACUUUCGUCGUCUAUUUAUUGCUUUUAGAGGUUCUAUUGAAGGGUUUAAUUAUUGUAGACCCUUACUAUUUUUGGAUGGUACGUUUGUGAAAACAAAGUACAAAGGCACUUUGCUUGGUGCGACAGGGAAAAAUGGUAACCAAGGUUUUUUCCCUCUUGCAUUUGCUCUGGUUGAUGCUGAAGAUGAGGCUAACUGAACUUGGUUUUUGAUGAACUUAUCUGACGUAUUAUCUGAAGAUGAACAUACCAUUACAUUCAUAUCGGACCGGCACAAAGGAUUGCUUCAAUCUGUGGCAAAUGUUUUCCCUACUUCUCCACAUGGAUUUUGUAUUUACCACAUA